GAUGAACGCUGGCGGCGUGCCUAAUACAUGCAAGUCGAGCGAACAGAUGAGGAGCUUGCUCCUCUGACGUUAGCGGCGGACGGGUGAGUAACACGUGGAUAACCUACCUAUAAGACUGGGAUAACUUCGGGAAACCGGAGCUAAUACCGGAUAAUAUAUUGAACCGCAUGGUUCAAUAGUGAAAGACGGUUUUGCUGUCACUUAUAGAUGGAUCCGCGCCGCAUUAGCUAGUUGGUAAGGUAACGGCUUACCAAGGCGACGAUGCGUAGCCGACCUGAGAGGGUGAUCGGCCACACUGGAACGGAGACACGGUCCAGACUCCUACGGGAGGCAGCAGUAGGGAAUCUUCCGCAAUGGGCGAAAGCUUGACGGAGCAACGCCGCGUGAGUGAUGAAGGUCUUCGGAUCGUAAAACUCUGUUAUUAGGGAAGAACAAAUGUGUAAGUAACUAUGCACGUCUUGACGGUACCUAAUCAGAAAGCCACGGCUAACUACGUG
rnacentral:rRNA from 1 species